rnacentral:rRNA from 1 species
UACGGGAAGGGGCUAGCGUUGCUCGGAAUAGCUAGGGCGUAAGGCGCGUAGGCGGCUUAGUUAGAUCCAGGCGGUGAAAACUUCCGUGGGCUCAACCUGGGGAACUGCGCUUGAUACGGCUGAGGCUAGGAGGAUGGAAGAGGGUCGCGGAAUUCCCAAGUGUAGAGGUGAAAUUCGUAGGAUAUUGGGGAAGAACACCGGUGGCGAAGGCGGCGAUCUGGAACGAUGAGCUGACGACGUGGAGAACCGCGA